AGUUAAUAUGGGUUGGUAAACUUGAAGAAAGCCUGAGAUGAUCUACGGAAGCGGUUAUGGGACGUUAUCAUCUUUAUUAUAUGCCAAUAUCCAAUUCAUGUAUAGAAAGCUACCCUGCCAUUACAGGGUGAUGUGAAAGCAACAAAAAUCGGUUUGUACACGGAGGGAUGCAAAUAUAGAUGUGGUGGCCUCAAGGAAGGUUACUCCUUCAUCCUUCCAUUUAUUUUUUUCUUGGUUGGUUCGUGAUAUUGUGAAGUUUCUAGCAAAUAUCAUAUAUUAAAAAAAGUUAUUAUUCUUCUACUGCUCAUAUUAUAAUGUAAAUGGCAGGGUCUGGAACUCUGGAAUGCCUCGUGAAACAAGUUCCUUGGAAUUACAGUGUAAUGCUUAAAUUAUUUAAUUUAAUGAACUACGGUUAUGAUUGCGGGGUAUAAUCUGUGGAGUAAGCAUCAAGCCAAGCCAGAAUGUGUUUUGUCGGUUUGCUCGUUCUUUUUGAUAGUUUAUAAGAUGGAACGAAAAUCAUGUGGUGGAAUGACUCAAUGUACAUGACGUGGCAUGUGAUUGCAAAUGAUCCCUCGCCCUCACAUCUAGUUAGCAAUUUGUUUGCAUUUAACAAAACAAUGCUUGGAAAAAUAUAUGCGAGCCUCUACUCAAGUAGAAGGCAAAGCAACUCAACCUUGCAUGAUUAAAUUGCCCUUUAUAAU
rnacentral:misc_RNA from 1 species